AGUUAUCUUUACUGCCUCAGCUGAGCUAAAAGUUGUACUCUUGUAGCCAUGUUCUUCACUACUAUCAGACUUAUUUCAUGCACUUCUCUCUUUUUUUCCUCUGGUGUCCUGAUCAAGGUUGCAAUGAAGAAAACAGACCUAUUACUUUAAGUAGACUUUUUUUUUUUUUUUUUUUGUAUCAGUCUCCUUUCUGGCUUUUGCUUUUUGUCCAUUCAGUAAAUGCAGGCAUCCUUUGCUACAAAAUAACUCUUUCUGUUCCUUCAUUGUCAUGAUGGGAGCCUACUGGACAAGAUUCCUUUUCUGAAACAUGGGUAGAAUCGGACACAGCUGCCUGUUGGAGUUUCCCUGUUACAGCACAGGACUGGCACAUCCCUGUUCCUCCCCAGUAGUCCUCAGCUCAAACAGCCAAAGGCUGUCUGGGUUCACCUUUUCGCAAGAGGUGGAAGCUGAAGUUGAGCAAGCAAAGUGAAAGAAUAUGGGAAAUCACAGCACUGAAAAGAAACAAUGGGGGAAAAAAGGUUUUAAAAACACAAGUGCUGCUGCUACAAAGGCUGAUACUCAAGUUGUACUUCUGCUGGCCAUUAAUGGGAACCAGAGGAGGACUGAGGGGUGCUUCCUUGGUUGGCCAUAGUGAUGACCGUGAUCAUCUGCCAAUGAAGCUGUUCUGAUUUUGCUUGCACAGUGAGAAUGACCUGGCUUUAUGGAUGAGUGUAUGGUUUGCACUGAUUCACAUCACAAAAAAAAAAAAAAAAAAAAAAAAAAAAAAAAAAAAAAAUCAGAUAGCAGAUUGUGCCAGACUGACUUUAUUUUAUCCUUUAUUUUGGACAAGAUAAAUACUUCUCUUGACAAGGAUAACUCUGUAGAUUUUAUCUCUUUAGCACUCAGUAAAGUGUUUGGCAUAGUGACACAUGGGGAAUUGUUCACUAAGCUGAAGAGGAUGAGGAUUAGUAAAAUAAUAUAAAUACAGUAGGGCACAGGGCAAAUGGGGGACAACGAGAUGCUUUAUGCUGACAGUCAGCUGGAAGGAUGGCUGCUGCCGGUGCACUUCCUCAGUGAACAGCAGCCCUUCACCCUUGGCUGAAUAGAGAGACCUACCAAUGGAGCUCUCUGGGAUGUGACACUUAGGGGCACUGCCAGUACUGACUGAUGAGUGCCUGAUAACCACAUGAGAAGUAACUAUGAGGGCAUAGUCGAAUGUAAUGUGGGAAAUAGAGUAAGGUAAAAUGGUGUAAUGCCUGCAGGAGCUAGAUACAGGAAUUUCUGCCAUGAGCUGAGGACUAUCACCUGGAAACCAAAACCUGGACUAAAGUUAAAUCCUUUCUCGUACAAUUGGGCUACAGGGUAACUGUUAGUCAGCAAUGUGAUGGAGCGGUGAAAAUGGCAAAGCAUGCUAGCUUACAGUUCAUGGCACUCCCAUCCCUUCUGAGCUCUUUAUAACUGGCCAUAUUUAGAAACUCAUCCAAAAUAGGUAUAGAAUUCCACCUAUACUGAAGGAAGCUCAAUUCAAAAUAAAGAGGAUAUGCAAAAGAAAGAUUGGAUAAGCAGAAGAGCAGAGGGUCAAUGUAAUAAUAAUAAAAAAGGCUAGGAGAGGAUUAGUUUAGCUUUGCAAAAGGAGAAGUAAGGAGAGGGCAUCAUAAAAAUCUUAAAACAUCUAAGAGUGGUGAGCUAGCUGAAGUCAAGUCUAGUAUUGUCAGGAAAGAUAAAUUGAUAUAAAGUAUUCAGAAAUAAAUUGAGGAGUAAAAUUAGAAGUUCCUAACUGUUACAGAAAUGAGUUUCUGACAUCCCAGAGGAGCAAAAAGGAAGCAGGAAAAAUUAAAAAAUGAUGUUAAUCAUCUGAACUUCUGAAUGGAACUAAGCAACCUGAUCUAAUGUGAUGAAGGACCUAGAGAUGAGGAAGUGGUGUUGCCCAAAAAGGUCCUUCAAGGACAUCUUUGAGGACUGCUGAACUGAGAUAACGGAUCUGACUUCCUGCUGAGCUCACUUGCGUCUUAGCUGAAAGCAGAAAACCAGAAUCAGGAUGACUACGCUGGCUCUGUGGUCAGCAGUGGUAUGUACAUGGACAUAAAAAGAGCAGGAGGCUGAGAACAUGAAAUCUGUAUUAACAGAGACCAGGGUGCCUAUUCACUGGUCCUUAAUGUAAUAGUAAAUACCUUAAUAGUAAAAAAGGCACACUGAGC
ensembl:lncRNA